CGGCAGNCCUAACACAUGCANGUCGAGGGGUAAGGUCUCUUNGGAGAUACACGACCGGCGCACGGGUGAGUAACGCGUUUGCAACCUACCUUCAACAGGGAGAUAGCUCUCGGAAACGGGAAUUAAUAUCCCAUAAUAUUUUUUUAUGGCAUCAUAGAAAGAUUAAAGNUCCGGCGGUUGAAGAUGGGCAUGCGUGACAUUAGCUAGUUGGUAAGGUAACGGCUUACCAAGGCUACGAUGUCUAGGGGGUCUGAGAGGAUGAUCCCCCACACUGGUACUGAGACACGGACCAGACUCCUACGGGAGGCAGCAGUGAGGAAUAUUGGGCAAUGGACGCAAGUCUGACCCAGCCAUGCCGCGUGCAGGAUGACGGCCCUAUGGGUUGUAAACUGCUUUUCUGCAGGAAGAAUUGUUCCGACGUGUCGGAAUUUGACGGUACUGCAGGAAUAAGCAUCGGCUAACUCCGUGCCAGCAGCCGCGGUAAUACGGAGGAUGCAAGCGUUAUCCGGAUUUAUUGGGUUUAAAGGGUGUGUAGGCGGGAGAUUAAGUCAGUGGUGAAAUCCUACAGCUUAACUGUAGAACUGCCAUUGAUACUGGUUUUCUUGAGUAUAGUUGAAGUGGGCGGAAUGUGUAUUGUAGCGGUGAAAUGCUUAGAUAUUACACAGAACACCUAUUGCGAAGGCAGCUCACUAAACUAAUACUGACGCUGAUGCACGAAAGCGCGGGGAGCAAACAGGAUUAGAUACCCUGGUAGUCCACGCCGUAAACGUUGAUUACUCGAUGUGUGCGAUACACUGUACGCGUCUGAGCGAAAGCAUUAAGUAAUCCACCUGGGGAGUACGAUCGCAAGAUUGAAACUCAAAUGAAUUGACGG
rnacentral:rRNA from 1 species